rnacentral:rRNA from 1 species
UACGUAGGUGGCAAGCGUUGUCCGGAUUUACUGGGCGUAAAGAGCGCGCAGGCGGUCGUUCAAGUCGCGUGUGAAAGCCCCCGGCUCAACUGGGGAGGGUCACGCGAUACUGAUCGACUCGAAGGCAGGAGAGGGAAGUGGAAUUCCCGGUGUAGUGGUGAAAUGCGUAGAUAUCGGGAGGAACACCAGUGGCGAAGGCGACUCACUGGCCCGAUACUGACGCUGAGGCGCGAAAGCGUGGGGAGCAAACAGG